AAUUCUUUGGCAGAAAAAUGCAUUAAGCUUAGAACUUAAAGAUAAGAUUUUAUUCUUAAGAAUUA
rnacentral:tRNA from 1 species